rnacentral:ncRNA from 1 species
GUUUGCACCGAGCCUUUACCGAAAGAUUUUUGGCCUAAAAUAAUGGCGCGGUGAUGGUCUUGCAAGGCGCCGGCCACAAUUUCGGAAGCUGAAGCGGAGCCUUCGUUUAUCAUCACCACAAUCGGUAAACCGUUUGUGAUAUCGCCCGAAUGCGCCGAAUAUUUGACAUUGUCUUGUUCGUUGCGCGAACGGGUGGAAACAAUUUCGCCUUCGCUUAAAAAUAAAUCGGAAAUGGCAAUGGCCUGAUCGAGCAAACCGCCCGGAUUGUUGCGUA